rnacentral:rRNA from 1 species
ACUACGGGAGGCAGCAGUGGGGAAUAUUGCACAAUGGGGGAAACCCUGAUGCAGCGACGCCGCGUGAGUGCAGAAGUAUUUCGGUACGUAAAGCUCUAUCAGCAGGGAAGAAAAUGACGGUACCUGACUAAGAAGCCCCGGCUAACUACGUGCCAGCAGCCGCGGUAAUACGUAGGGGGCAAGCGUUAUCCGGAUUUACUGGGUGGAAAGGGAGCGUAGACGGCAGCGCAAGUCUGAAGUGAAUUCCCAGGGAUUAACCAUGGAACUGCUUUGGAAACUGUGAAGCUGGAGGGCAGGAGAGGUAAGCGGAAUUCCUAGUGUAGCGGUGAAAUGAGUAGAUAUUAGGAGGAACACCAGUGGCGAAGGCGGCUUACUGGACUGUAACGGACGUUGAGGCUCGAAAGCGUGGGGAGCAAACAGGAUUAGAUACCCCAGUAGUC